CUCUUCCCUGGGAGAAUGAAUGGACUUCCGGGCCUGCCUGUGGGACAGGAGCUUAAGGGUCCCUCUUCUCCACUGGCUUCUCUAGGAAGGUGCAUCAAAGUGAUGGGGAGCAGGGACCUCAUAGCCUUCUGCAGCCCUGAGAAAAUGGAUCUGUCUGUUUCUGGACAGACUGAUGCCUGGCUUGGCGGGGACAACAUGUUCCACAGUCUCAUUACCCAACAGAGGUGGUGAGACUGUGAGUGGAGGCGACCUUCCUCAGGGGCCUGGUCCCUUGGCCCAGCUGUGCGGGUUGUGGAGGGAGGGGAGGCCUAGGAGGCGGUGGAGUGUGGGGGCCAACCCCACUCCCCUCCGCCCUCCUGGAGGGGCACUGCUCAAGAGCCCUGAAAAAGAAGCGGGAAAGGCCAGGCCAUUUGUGCAGACUGGCUCCACUUGGCUUUCAAGCAGCACGUCUUUCUUCCAAAGCCAAUCCUUUGAUCCCUAGAGACAUAAAAGGAGCCAUCUGCAUCUGUGUUGCCUACAGAUGCAGAAACUGCAGUCUGGGGUAGAAAGUUACCUUCCCCCAAUCCCCCCGCCAGCAGGAGAGCUGGGAGUCAAACACGCCUCCCCUGUGUUUGCCAUGUGAAGCUUCCUCCCUCCUUUUAGAUGUGGCCCAUGACUAGGUCCUGGUCAAGGAGAUUGCAAGGAAGGAGCACUCCCUUUCACCUUUCCGUUUACCACUUGUUGGAAUGCAGAUGUGAUGACAGGAACUGGAGCAGUCAUUUUGGACCACGCGAAGAAACCUGCACAACCUUGAGGAAGGCAGAACGACAAGUUUGAAGGCAGGUGUGGUGUGUACCUGACAUGAUUAAGCCACCGAUCAUCCUUGAACUACCUAGUUGGAUGUUAUAUGUAGAACAGAUCGACUUUUAUUCUGUUGAAGCCUCUGUAUUUGGGAAUUUCUUUGUCCUGGCAGCUGAAUUUAUGUGCUCACUGUAUGAGUGUGGUGGAAUCGCCACAUCUAGAUGUGUCUGGUCACUGGUGAGACUGGAAACGCCAGGUUUUAGUUGACUCUUACUUUGGUGGUCUCUAAUAGAUCAUCCUUCCCAGUAUUCACACCCUUGAGUGACCUCUGCUCACAAUGACUCUGGACUUGACCAUGUGACUUGCUUUGGCCCCUGGGGCCUUAGCAAGUGUGAUGGCUAUAAGCAGAGACUUGGCAAGCAUUUGCACAGCGGGUCUUGUCCUCUUGGAACCCUAACUCUUAGGAUGCCUCUUCUCCAAACCCAGCUGCCAAUCUUGAGAAGCCUGACAUAGCCAUAAGGCAAGGCCACAUGGAGGAGAACUGAGGCGCUGCCCUCGGCCCCAGGGGAUCCUGCGCCCAUUUGCCAGCAUGUGAGUGAAGCCAUUCAGGAAGUAAAUCCUACAGUCUGAGGGGUGGACCAGAGACCAGCUGUCCCUGCCCUGCCCUGUUGCAACUGCAGAAUUGGGAUCAAAUAAAUAA